AAGGUUCCAUUUUAACAGCAGUAACAUGGGUUCAGUGGUCCUAAGAAGAUAAGGCGAGCNNNGUUCGGAAGGGACGGGCGAUGGCCUCCGUUGCCCUCGGCCGAUCGAAAGGGAGUCGNGUUCAGAUCCCCGAACCCGGAGCGGCGGAGACGGGGCCUUCGGGGCGUCCAGUGCGGUAACGCGACCGAUCC
rnacentral:rRNA from 1 species